AGGCAGCCCCUUUGUCUCGAUUGCAAUGGCAAUGGAGGUGUUGCGUUGCUCGGAGAGUGAUUCUUCUGCUCUUCAGAUUAGCUGAGAGGAAUGGCUCUUUUGCCUUUCCUCACUGAAGCUUGUCUAGUAGUCUUAAGAACAAU
rnacentral:snoRNA from 1 species